rnacentral:rRNA from 1 species
AUGUCGACGGCCCCUGCCGGCAACGACGUGGAGCCGGAGGAGGUGCAGGAGGAGGAGGAGGAAGGCGGCGGCAGCGGCAACCCGAGGCGCUGCGCAGCGUGCAAGUACCUGCGCCGGCGGUGCGGCCACGGCUGCGUGCUCGCCCCCUACUUCCCGGCGUCCCGCCCCCGCCGCUACGCCAACGUCCACCGGGUCUUCGGCGCCAGCAACGUUGCCAGGUUGCUCCAGAGCUUGCCCGUGGAGGAGAGAGCGCAGGCGGCUGAGACGAUGGCGAUGGAGGCGCAGUGGCGGGUAGGGGACCCGGUGUACGGCUGCGCCGGGGUCAUCAACCGGCUGCAGGAAGAGAUCCUCGCCACGCAGUGCGAGCUCGCCAGGACCAGGGCGCAGCUCGCCAUCGUCGUCGCGCACGGCGCGCAGCAGGCUCCUCCUCCUUCCGCACCCCUUCCCUCGGCGCCUUCGCCGCUGCCAGCAGGCGGCCACCGCGUCGCCGGCAUGCAGAGGCAGGGAGGGCAGCAGGAUGCGCCGUUGAUUGAUCCGGAUGAGUUCCUCGACCUCGAUGGUUUUUGA